rnacentral:snRNA from 1 species
AGUAUAAGGCCAAUCUGGCUAUGGCAUCUGUUAUCUNAUUAAUUGCCAGAGUUUAGUGAGAUGGUCUGGUUGGCUUGCUAGAAGUUCCUGUACCACUCCACUGUGUUCUUCCCGAAGCUGAGUGCCAGGUCCACCUUUCCUGAUAACGGAGGGCNGACCUUCAGCCAAGGGUGUACAGGUAGCUGCACCCCCUUGUUUGAACCCUCUAACAAGCUCUCAGAGUUCCUUUCUGAACCUGCUUUGCCACCCCCCACCUCCCACCUUCAAGACUU